rnacentral:lncRNA from 1 species
AGUGCCGUUUUCUGGCCAUUUAGAACCAUUGUCGAGUUUGUAUUGGUGCAAAGCGGUGUUGCAGAAGAAAAUGAGAUGCCUAGAUUUUAGGUCAGGUGAGAGUUGAAGAGGUUUUAAGUUCUUGAGAACACAGGCUAAGGCAGAAGAAGGAGGAAUGGAGGGUGGAAGGUUGCCCAUAGUAAAGGAGGCAAGUUUAAAGAGAAGAGAUUAAACACCAAGGGAAGGCUGCUGACCCGGGUCUUCGGCACCAAAUGUUUCACGUGUCCAUGUGAAGAGAUCACCAAACAGGCUUUGUGUGAGCAACGAGGCUGUUUAUUUCACCUAGGUGCAGGUGGGCUGAGUCCGAAAAAGGAGUCCCAGCUGAUAGGCACAGUGUAGCCAGGGAAAUAGCCCACCUGCAAAUCCCCAUAACAUCACAGCCACAUGUCACUAGGGAUUGAGAGUGAUAGAAACUGAAAUUCUAUGGAGGCAAGGAGGCAAAACAGAAAACUCAAAAUAGAGCUGAGAGGUCCUAGCUGAAGGAGAAGCUCAAAUUCAGAAGUCGCCUGCCCAGAGCUGAGUUUGAUGGACUCUAGUUCUCCCGGGGAGAAAACAUAGAAAUGUUUUGUUUUGUUUUUUUUCCCUUAGGGCUUGUGGGCCACAUGGGAAAGUGAGAUUGAGCUGUGUAAAAUCCAUAGAGGUCACAGCUUUGUCAUUCUCCAAAUUCAGCAAAGCUAAUCAUCUCUUGAGGUAGAAAAAUGGCCAGGAAUCAGACAUCCUGAGCUCAAAAACAAAGAACUCUGGGAUGCUGGGCUGAUGCCGUACCAAAUCCUAAUUCCCUUUCCAGCCUAGGAAUGGCUUCAGCCGCCAAAACUAUGCUACCUUUAGCCUUAUGACAUCGGCAUAUUCUACCCCUGGAAAGGACCUCAGUCAGUCAUCUGCUCUGGCCCUCUGUCUCCAGAUAGCCAGCCAUUACAAAUGUAUGUUUAUCUUUUUGAUUUUUUUUUUUAAGAGAUGGGACGGGAUCGGCCAGGUGCAGUGGCUCACACCUGUAAUCCCAGGACUUUGGGAGGCCGAGGCGGGCAGAUCACCCGAGGUUGGGAGUUCGAGACCAGCCUGACCAACAUGGAGAAACCCCGUCUCUACUAAAAAUACAAAAUUAGCUGGGCGUGGUGGUGCAUGCCUGUAAUCCCAGCCACUUGGGAGGCUGAGGCAGGAGAAUCGCUUGAACCCGGGAGGCAGAGGUUGCGGUGAGUCGAGAUCACACCAUUGCACUCCAGCCUGGGCAACAAGAGUGAAACUCUGUCUCAAAAAAAAAAAAAAAAAAAGAUGGGAAGGGAUCUUUUUAUGUUGCCCAGGCUGGUCUUGAACUCCUGGCUCAAGCAAUCCUCUUGCCUCAGCCUCUCAAGUAGCUGAGACCACAGGCCAUGUGCCACCACACCUGGCCUUUUCUAUUUUUAAAGGUUCGCACGAACAGAGAUCCUUUUACCUCUCUGGCUUGCUAUUCUAAGGUUUAUAAUUUUUACUUAUGAUAUCCAUUAGGAAGUGCAAUUCAUCUCUAACAAAUGUUUAUUCCUCAUAUAUUUUUAAAAAUCUUAUGAAAGUUAAGGCAGAAAUAAAUUAUUUAGUAUCAGCUUUAAAGUCAUGCUCAAGUCAUUUAUUAGAUUUUUUUUCUGUCUAGUCUCAUAGAGACCCAUUACCCACAGUUCUUCUUUCUAAAACCUCUUCCCAAUAUGCCGUAAUUGGAGACUCCAAACUACGUGCUUAUGAUGUUCUCCAGAACCCCUCCUGACUACACCCAGAAUACCUACUGGAUGGUGCCUGUAAUCUUAUCCUUCGUCUUGCUUCUAAUAAGUCAGACAACUGCCAUGGAGGGUUAUUUAGGGCAACAUGGAACAGCCAAGGAGACUCUGGCCAGGACUGGCUUGGGGCCAGACUAAGCUAGUCAGGUUGGCUAGGAGAGCUCAAAGAAUUACCGGGGCUCCUUAAUAUAAACUAUUUGUAUACCCCAAAGUUUGUGAUUUUUAGGGAACUAGGGGUUUGAGGCAUAGGUACCAGGUACAUGAAGAGCAUCCUAAAGUUUGGUUUCUAGGAAAACACUCAGAUAUUCAAGUUGGAGACAGGAUGAAUGACUUCUGGAAGUUGGUAGAGUUGAGGUAAGAAGAAGGCAGAGGGAGAAGAGAAUUUCCUUAUUGUGAGAUUUUUUUUGUAUGCCCAACAGAUUUGGAUAGUCCCUGCCCACCAUCUGUUGUUUGCUUUUGUACUGAAAACGUUCGGAGUCACUUGUCUCUCUUAACCCUGGGUAUACCAACAGGAUUGCAUUAAGUUAGAGUUUUUACAGGACCAUUUACUCAGCUUGGGAACAGGAAACAAUGUUCCAACCUAUACAUUUCAGAACAAUUUUUUCCCUUAUUUCCUGAAAUUACAAAUUCAUACUCCAGAACUCCAGGUAUCCAGAAGAGAAUCCCAUAGGCCUUGUGAAAGACUGGAAAACAAACUUUAGUUUCAUAUCUAUUCUGAUCUUAUUGAGCUAACUUUAUUCAUCUUUCCUAAAGCAUUGAAGGCUUUGUGUUGACUUUUGACCUUGUUCCUUUCACACACAUAGGCUAUUCCUCAAGCUACUGAGAAGCCCCUCUCUUCACAGAUUUUUUGGUUUUGAUGCCUUCAACUUAAGGUUGUGAACUUAGGCUUCUAGACUUCAUGGGGCUUUGCCUUAGUGAUGUCAUAAGUAAGCUUUGACAUCAGUGCUCACCAAUGGCUUCUUGUUGACAAGCCCAAACUUUCAGGCCUUACCUUAGAUCAGUUAUCAGAAGCAUUUGGCACUGUUCCAACUUCUUGAAACUGUCCACUUUUGGCUUCUAAGACAUUGCUAAAUCCUGGUUCUUUUGUAUUUCUUGCUGCCCCUUAUUAGUUUUUAUCAUGGAACCCCCCUUCCCCUUCCUGUUCCUUCAAUGUUGGUUUUCCUCAGGGUUGCAUUCCUUGCCCCUUUCCCUUAUAAUUCUGCAUAUUCUCUUGAGAUAGUCUCUUCUGUGUUCACAUGGAUACUCCACAAGAACUUCAAACAGCAUAUCCAAAUAUGAAUGUAUCACCCCCACUGCCACCUGCCCA